CAGUAGCCACGGUAAUACGUAGGUCCCGAGCGUUGUCCGGAUUUAUUGGGCGUAAAGCGAGCGCAAGCGGUUAGAUAAGUCUGAAGUUAAAGGCUGUGGCUUAACCAUAGUACGCUUUGGAAACUGUUUAACUUGAGUGCAGAAGGGGAGAGUGGAAUUCCAUGUGUAGCGGUGAAAUGCGUAGAUAUAUGGAGGAACACCGGUGGCGAAAGCGGCUCUCUGGUCUGUAACUGACGCUGAGGCUCGAAAGCGUGGGGAGCAAACAGGAUUAGAUACCCCGGUAGUCCCUGUCUCUUAUACA
rnacentral:rRNA from 1 species